UAUCGGAUCGUUUUAGAAACAUCAGGGGCCAACAGAUCGCCAGAUCGUUGAGCUCCAUUGGCGGGAUUUCGCCGUCUACGUUUCUCUUUCUUCGCGGACGAACACGCGCUGGGCCUGCAUGCGCAGGAUCCCAUGGUCCUUAACGGGAUAUGCGUUAGGGGCUUGUAGCUCAGUUGGUUAGAGCGCGCGCUUGAUAAGCGUGAGGUCGGAAGUUCAAGUCUUCCCAGGCCCACCACACUCAUCGAGUGAGCAUUCGUCUUCUGGUUACGGGGCCAUAGCUCAGCUGGGAGAGCGCGUGCUUUGCAAGCAUGAGGUCGUCGGUUCGAUCCCGUCUGGCUCCACCAGAUGGUUUGAUCACCGAGGUCUUGUACCGUCGUCCGCGAAACAUCACUUCGCAUCCUGCUAGUCUGGAUAGACAGCAAGAUGCGUGUUUUCUGACAUCGUAAAGAGGAGAUCGAUCCGAGUUGGGUCGUGUAGCAGAUUGCUGCGCGAGCCUUCAUUAUCUCCGGAUCAUUUCGGCGCUCGCGCGCCUUUCAGUGUAGCUCACAAGGCUGCAUCUGGAAGACGAGCGAGUUGUAAAUGAUCCUUUUAGCGAAGCUUGACCGCCUCGCUAUCGGAACGAUCUUACGAAGCAAGCUGGUCUUUCUAAUCAUUGUCCGGCUGCAGAUAGCGUUCAUCGAGGGCGCGUGCCGCAAGGUAAUUCUGCAGACAACAUUCUGCCGAGUGUGUGGACAUUGAUAAUGAGAGCAAUCAAGUGCCUUAAGGGUGUUCGGUGGAUGCCUUGGCGCUGAGAGGCGAUGAAGGACGUGCUACGCUGCGAUAAGC
rnacentral:misc_RNA from 3 species